rnacentral:rRNA from 1 species
GACGAACGCUGGCGGCGUGCCUAAUACAUGCAAGUUGAGCGCUGAAGGUUGGUACUUGUACCAACUGGGUGAGCAGCGAACGGGUGAGUAACGCGUGGGGACUCUGCCUUUGAGCGGGGGACAACAUUUGGAAACGAAUGCUAAUACCGCAUAAAAACUUUAAACACAAGUUUUAAGUUUGAAAGAUGCAAUUGCAUCACUCACAGAUGAUCCCGCGUUGUAUUAGCUAGUUGGUGAGGUAAAGGCUCACCAAGGCGAUGAUACAUAGCCGACCUGAGAGGGUGAUCGGCCACACUGGGAGUGAGACACGGCCCAAACUCCUACGGGAGGCAGCAGUAGGGAAUCGUCGGCAAUGGACGAAAGUCUGACCGAGCAACGCCGCGUGAGUGAAGAAGGUUUUCGGAUCGUAAAACUCUGUUGGUAGAGAAGAACGUUGGUGAGAGUGGAAAGCUCAGCAAGUGACGGUAACUACCCAGAAAGGGACGGCUAACUACGUG